AGAGUUUGAUCAUGGCUCAGAACGAACGUUGGCGGCGUGGAUUAGGCAUGCAAGUCGAACGACGGCCGUGGGGCAACCUGCGGUACGGAGUGGCGAAAGGGGCAGUAAGGCGUGGGUAACCUACCCUGGGGACGGGGAUAGCCAUCCUAACGGAUGGGUAAUACCUGGCGACGUGACGACGGCACCUGUUGUUGUCACCAAAGGAAUUUCGCCCUGGGAGGGGCCCACGUAGUAUUAGCUAGUUGGUGAGGUAACGGCUCACCAAGGCCAAGAUGCUUAGCAGGUGUGAGAGCACGACCUGCGCCACUGGCACUGAGACACUGGCCAGACUCCUACGGGAGGCUGCAGUCGAGGAUCUUCGGCAAUGGGCGCAAGCCUGACCGAGCGACGCCGCGUGUGCGAUGAAGGCCUUCGGGUUGUAAAGCACUGUCGAGGGGAAGGAAGCCGCAAGGUUGACCGACCUCUGGAGGAAGCACGGGCUAAGUUCGUGCCAGCAGCCGCGGUAAGACGAACCGUGCGAACGUUGUUCGGAAUCACUGGGCUUAAAGGGCGCGUAGGCGGGUCAUCAAGUCCGUGGUGAAAGCCCUCAGCUUAACUGGGGAAGUGCCGCGGAUACUGGUGGCCUCGAGGGAGGUAGGGGCAUGUGGAACUUCCGGUGGAGCGGUGAAAUGCGUAGAUAUCGGAAGGAACGCCGGUGGCGAAAGCGACGUGCUGGACCUCUUCUGACGCUGAGGCGCGAAAGCCAGGGGAGCAAACGGGAUUAGAUACCCUAGUAGUCC
rnacentral:rRNA from 1 species